GAUGAGUUAGUUCUUCAUGUG
rnacentral:siRNA from 1 species